rnacentral:lncRNA from 1 species
GUCCGCGCGCGCGGGGCGGCCGCGGCGGUGAGCCUGCGCGUCAGGGCCGCCGGCCUCUCCUUGGCUGUUGGAGGUGAUAGGGGUCGAGGGGAGGGAAAAAGGGGCUGGCGUCAGCCGCCCCUGUGAGGUGGCCGUAGCGUGGACGAGUAAGAAGGGUUGAGUAAAGUGGACAAACACCUGGUUAGGAGAAGAGGGCAGGCCCGCAGCCGCCCUCCGGAGGAGGACUCGGGGCCUCGCGGGCGCCGGAGGAGGUUCCUGGGCCUCGGAGGGCCGCCCCGGCGCGCCGCCCCGGCGCGAGCGGGCGCGGGCGGGGGAGGGGAAGUGAGAGGUUGUUUAUGACCGGGGACUAAUCUCCUCCGCGAGUCCCAGCGCUCCCUCUGGGGAGUGCGGUUGAGGGGCUGUCCUCGCACGGAGCCUCGCUCGGCCUCGGGGGAGCCACGAGAGGUGGGAGUUGGACCCGCAGCGGGCCAGGAGCCCUGUCAUUGGAGGACCCGCCAAAAAGGAAGCAAACCCUCUUUUUCUUUAUCCAACCCCAAAUAGCUAGGGCCUAGGGGGAAGACUCACAUAUCGAUAAAUGGUUUGUUGCCCGUUUUAUUCUCUGGGAAAUACAACUGAUCUUACCAAAGAAAUAACCUGUCUCUUGCCGUGUUUACUUAGAGCCAUAGAAUACCUGUUUCAGAGCUGAAGGGGACCUGAGCCCAUGAUAAUCCAUUACCUCGUGAGAAAGCGGAAAAACUGACUUCAGCUUGCCCAGAUGGCGCAGAGAAUGGGUUUCCCGUAACCCCGCCUGUGUCUUUCCUUCAGCCUCGUCCCAAAUGCCGUGGGAGGGAAGGCACUCUCUGUCAAGCUGCUGUCACCUUACCUGAAGUAAGGAGUCCACGCCUGCAUGUCCGAGGAAAACAGUUUUCUCAAACACAUUAGUUGAAAAACUGAAGACGCUGCCUAAAAUACAAGCUGAGUUAGAGACAGCCCUUGUAAGACUAGGAAAGGCCUUGUGAGGACAUAACCAGGAAGAGAGUCCUCACCAGAACCUGACCAUACCUGCACCCUGAUCUCAAGCUUCCAGCUUCCAGAACCAUGAGAAAUCAAUGUUUGUUGUUUUAGCCACCCAGUCUACAGAAAUUUGUUAUAGCCACCCUAGCUGACUACCACAUUGGACAUCACAGCAAACACUACAACCAGUAAGUCUCUGCUUGUAUUAACUGGAACAUUUCCAAAGCCUGUCCUACUCAGGAUAAAUGCACAAAAGAAAAAUUAGUAGUUGACG